rnacentral:rRNA from 1 species
AGAGUUUGAUCCUGGCUCACAAUGAACGCUGGCGGCGCGCUUAACACAUGCAAGUCGAACGAGAAAUCUCGAGCUUGCUCGGGAGAGUAAAGUGGCGCACGGGUGAGUAACGCGUGGGUAACCUGUCCUUAAAUUUGGGAUAAUCCACCGAAAGGUGGCCUAAUACCAAAUACAGUCCAAGGAACCAAGGUUCUUUGGAUGAAAGCUGACCUCUUCAUGAAAGUUGGCGUUUGAGGAGGGGCUCGCGUACCAUUAGCUUGUUGGUAGGGUAAUGGCCUACCAAGGCUACGAUGGUUAGCUGGUCUGAGAAGAUGGCCAGCCACACUGGAACUGAAACACGGUCCAGACUCCUACGGGAGGCAGCAGUGAGGAAUCUUGCGCAAUGGGGGAAACCCUGACGCAGCGACGCCGUGUGAGUGAAGAAGGCCUUCGGGUCGUAAAGCUCUGUCAAGUGGGAAUAAAGUCCCUCGGUGAAUACCCGAGGGAUCUGAAGGUACCACUAAAGGAAACACCGGCUAACUCCGUGCCAGCAGCCGCGGUAAUACGGAGGGUGCAAGCGUUAUUCGGAUUUAUUGGGCGUAAAGAGCGUGUACGCGGUUGGGAUAGUCAGACGUGAAAGCCUUCUGCUNCACAGAACAAGUACGUCCGAGACUGCUCAACUUGAGUUCGAAACAGGAAAGUGUAAUUCCCCCCGCCGAGGUCAAAUUCUUACAUCUUGGCAAGGAACCCCCUUCGUCGACCGCUUCUUUCUG